UUAACAGAGGAAAAAAUACAAAACACAAGCUACAUAUUCUGAUAUGAAUGAUGAACAAUAACAACAUUUUAAAAAUAGGGAAAAUAGAGUUAAAAUUUAACAUAUGAUGACUGUCAUGGAGUUUCCGCCCAUAACAAAGAUGGCCGUCGAAACGGUGACUCACUGUACUGUACUGCGGCCGACAUCAUAAUCGUGCGCCACAGUCUGUGCUGCACGCAGCGCCCCCCAGGAGUGCAGGGAACGUAGCUUCUGCUAUAAGCACUUCUGAAGAAAUCCAUUAUUGCAUAUAUUUAAAGAAGACAGCAUGGAGGCUCCGAAGGACGCUCCUCCACCCAAGCAGCAGCCGAUGAUCUAUAUUUGUGGAGAAUGCCACAAAGAAAAUGAAAUAAAAGCCAGAGAUCCCAUCCGAUGCAGAGAAUGCGGCUACAGGAUUAUGUACAAGAAGAGGACAAAGCGAUUGGUUGUGUUUGAUGCUCGUUAAAGUGGACACCUCCCCGGCUCGCAGGACCUGUUUGUUGUAUUAUUGGUUUUUAGUGGACUCAUUCAUAUGAAUAUUUUCUUUGAGAAUCUAAAAAGUAUGUGAUAUUUCUGUAUGAAACUGUAAAUUAAUGCUUGCUUGGUAAUAAACAUUUUGUAA